GACGAACGCUGGCGGCGUGCCUCAAACAUGCAAGUCGAGCGGACGGAGACCGAACCGCAAGGGGAGGUCGAAGUUAGCGGCGAACGGGUGAGUAACACGUGGGUAACCUACCCUAAAGUCUGGGACAACGGCCCAAAAGGGCCGCUAAUACCGGAUAAUGUCUUCGGGUCGCAUGGCCUGGGGAAGAAAGCCGAAAGGCGCUUAUGGAUGGGCUCGCGUCCCAUCAGCUAGUUGGUAAGGUAACGGCUUACCAAGGCGACGACGGGUAGCCGGUCUGAGAGGAUGGUCGGCCACACUGGGACUGAGAUACGGCCCAGACUCCUACGGGAGGCAGCAGUUGGGAAUAUUGGGCAAUGGGCGAAAGCCUGACCCAGCGACGCCGCGUGAGGGAAGAAGGCCUUCGGGUCGUAAACCUCUGUCAUCGGGGACGAAGAAAGUGACGGUACCCGAGGAGGAAGCCCCUGCUAACUACGUGCCAGCAGCCGCGUAAACAUACUCGUA
rnacentral:rRNA from 1 species